AAAAUAUCGGUUUCCAUGUGUAGGCUAUGUGCUGGAUGGUGUGCUUCCUUUAUGAAAACCAGACUCAAUGAAGCCUUGGCAAGAGUGGAAAGUCUGGAGCGAGAAAAGAAGAAUGCCAUGGCCAGAGAAAACAGGGCAAAGACCACAGUGAGGAGUCUUUUUGAGGAAUUGAAGGAAAAGAACCUCAUUAAUGAAGAGCUCAAAGACAAACUUGAAUUUUACUCCGAUCUUCAGAUAGACCUCAUGGCAAAGCAGGGCCAUGAGUACACAAAGGAGUACAGAGAGUUUGCGCUCACACUCCAUUUACACGGUCCAAAGGCGUACAGAUACCUGAGAGAGACUCGACAUUUUCCCCUCCCCAUCCACAUCCAUUACAAAGACAUGGGAGAUGGAAGCAGUGAGACUGAUGUUGCGACUGAGGCUCUUGUGUUCAUGGUGGUUGGCCUACAAGGACAUUGGAAGGCUCCUAUAGCUUCCUUCCUGGCCAAGUCUCUCUCUCCUGAAACACAAAGGGUCCUUCUCGGUCAUGCUUUGGAGGAGCUGCAUGCACGGGGCAUUCGGGUGGUAUGCGUAACAAUGGAUGGGCCUCCAAUGAGUGCAACCAACUUGGGUGUGAGCUGAAGGGCGACCCACGAGAGCCACUUCAAACCAGUUUCUCACAUCCGGUGACUGGCAAGAAAGUUUUUGUAAUGAUGGAUGCUUGCCACAUGCUCAAGUUGGCACGUAAUAUGUUGCAGGCAUACAGUCCAAUUACAACGACCACUGGACAGAUCACUUGGAGUGUGUUUUUCAGGUCCUAGAUGCUUCUAAAUGGUAUGUAUUACACAACAUCAACUUUAUGCAGGUGUAAGAAAGAUGGUAAGUAUGUUGAUCUGAUGUCUUUUUAAAUGUUUUUCAAUAUGCAGUUUUGUUUCUGUUGGAAUUGUCUUGUAUUCAGUGUGUUUCAGGUCCUAGAUGUUUCUAAAUGGUAUGUAUUGCAAUUACAUUGUUCCAAGUUAUUGUUCCAUUGUCUACAAGUAUACUGUAUACGUUAAACAAGGAACUGAUCCCAUUCCUAAAACAGGGAUGCAAACAAAUUAUCUAUUCGCCCUGGUAGCUGUUUAUCAUUUUAAUUUUCUGUGAGUUUGCACCCCUGUGAUAGGCACUCAAGAACAGGCUUCCCACGGGUCAUGGAAUUUCUGGAAUAUCAUGGCACUUUGGAAAGUCUAUUCCAGACAUGGAAAGUCAGGGAAUUUCUAUCAUUUAUUUUUGGAGCAAAGUAAUGGAAUAUCAGGGAAUUUUGAUGUAGCAGUUUACAUUUGUGGGAACCCUGCAACCCCUGGGUGUCUUGUUUCGCCAUGAUCAGAGCCAGUUCCAGGCCAUCUUCCGCCGUCUGAUGGUUCGGUGUGGUGUCUCAUCUGGUGAGACAGGCCAUGUGGCUGCCCAAGACAGCAGUGUGUCCCUGUCUGCUGUGGAGAUGUCCUCUGCUGAAACUGCUGAAGAGCACACAUCUCCAUUCGCUAACAUUUCAGCCCUUGUGUGUGACCACAGUUAUCUCCCCACUCGGUUUGGUGGUCUGGUGGAAAAUACUCUGGUCUACAUAGCAGGGUUUGUAGUCCGGCAGGUUCUACGAAAGCUGUCCUGUGAUGUGUGCCAUGUAAGCUUGGUCGGUGAGGCUGUACCAUCUUUAUUUGACAAGAGCUACCACCUUCUAGCCCUGAAAAACAACGGCGGCCUAGUGAUUCCAUCACAAGGCACAGUGAAGGUGCUGAGAGCUGCAGAGAGGGUGAUCCGCCAAGCUUCAGCAAUGCAGGCUCCCAAGGUGUCGACAGUUACACACAUCGUCCGGGAGGAGAUUGGAACGGAGGAUGUUUUUCUGCUUGGGGAACACAUUGAGGAGACACAGUUUGGCAUUGACAACCAUCAUUCUGACCUGUUGUCAUUGGUUGUGCCUGUGUUUCUCAAGAUAAGGCUGCACCACAUUGCCAAGCUCACCUCUCUUGAACUGCAGAAAGGGAGCACAGGAAAGAAGCUCUGCAAAACAGUGCUGUUUCAGGGGUUUUAGCUUGUGUGUGUGUGAGUGUGAGGAGGGGGGUUGCUACAUGUCAAGGGCUGGAAGGAGAUGGAUGCAGAAGAAUGUGGUAGUACAGUAUGUGUGUGUGUGUAUGAGUAUGACUGAGAGAGACAAAUGACACUCCAAGUAGAAUCUAAUGCAAUGUAAUCAUAGUGUUUAUUCAACUUAAAAUAUCUUUACUGUCACUAUCUGUUUCUGCUUCUCUAUCAUAUUUAUAGUGUGUGAUUUGCAAAAUGCCUAUCAUAGCUUACACCUCAUACGGUUAUGGUUGCACUUUUGUCCAAAGUGACAUAUAAAUACUUAAACAGGGAGGAGAUUGAGAUGUUGGCCAGACUAUAAUAAGGAGAGUAGCAUUAAUAAACAACAAUGUCAAUUCAGUCAAUAGUAUAAUGAAAUAAACAAUCAAAAUGAGGGGAAAUGUCAAUAAUAAACAAUGUCAAUUCAAUCAACAAUAUAUUUACAAUAGCAUGGUAAGGCUACAUUAAGGAGAAUAUCAGUAAUAAACAACAAUGUCAAAUUAAUCAACAGCCUAA